rnacentral:rRNA from 1 species
AUGGAGGCGGCAUUGGUUCUGGUGGUGGCGGUGCUCCUUGGGUCCUCAGCCCUUGUUGCCUCAGAUUUCUGCGUGUGCCGGUCGGAGCAGCCGACGGCGGUGCUGCAGAAGGCGAUCGACUACGCGUGCGGGCAGGGCGCGGACUGCACGGCCAUCGCGCAGAGCGGGGCGUGCUACAGCCCCGACGAGGUCGCCGCGCACUGCUCCUGGGCCGCCAACAGCUACUUCCAGAAGUUCAGGUCCACCGGCGCCACCUGCGACUUCUCCGGCGCCGCCACCCUCUCCACCACCGACCCCAGUUUCUCUGGUUGCACGUUCCCAUCCAGUGCCAGUGCCGCCGGCACCACCACGGGAACCGGGACAGCCACGACGGGCACCGGCACCACCACGGGCACCGGGACGACCACGGGGGGCACCUUCAGCCCCGGGAUGGGCACCGGCUUCAACAGCACCGGGUUCAGCCCGACAACCGGGAGCAUGGACGGCACCGCCGCGGCGGCCGGCUUGCUUCCGUCGAUCAGACUGGCGGCCUCCAUCGCCGUCCUCCUCCUCUCCUACUUGGCGCUGCCAUGA